rnacentral:rRNA from 1 species
GUGUCAGCCGCCGCGGUAAAACGUAGGACGCAAGCGUUAUCCGGAGUUACUGGGCGUAAAGCGCGGGCAGGCGGCUUGUCAAGUGGGGUGUGAAAUCUCCCGGCUUAACCGGGAGGGGCCAUUCCAAACUGACAGGCUGGAGGGCAGUAGAGGUAGGCGGAAUUCCGGGUGGAGUGGUGAAAUGCGUAGAGAUCCGGAGGAACACCAGAGGCGAAAGCGGCCUACUGGGCUGCACCUGACGCUGAGCCGCGAAAGCCAGGGGAGCGAACGGGAUUAGAAACCCGUGUAGUCC